rnacentral:rRNA from 1 species
CAGUAGCCGCGGGAAAACGGAGGGUGCAAGCGUUAAUCGGAAUUACUGGGCGUAAAGCGCACGCAGGCGGUUUGUUAAGUCAGAUGUGAAAUCCCCGAGCUUAACUUGGGAACUGCAUUUGAAACUGGCAAGCUAGAGUCUUGUAGAGGGGGGUAGAAUUCCAGGUGUAGCGGUGAAAUGCGUAGAGAUCUGGAGGAAUACCGGUGGCGAAGGCGGCCCCCUGGACGAAGACUGACGCUCAGGUACGAAAGCGUGGGGAGCAAACAGGAUUAGAUACCCGCGUAGUCCCUGUCUCUUAUAC